rnacentral:ncRNA from 1 species
CCGUCCUAGUCUCAACCAUAAACGAUGCCGACCAGGGAUCGGCGGAUGUUGCUUAUAGGACUCCGCCGGCACCUUAUGAGAAAUCAAAGUCUUUGGGUUCCGGGGGGAGUAUAGUCGCAAGGCUGAAACUUAAAGGAAUUGACGGAAGGGCGGCACCACCAGGCCACCAGGCGUGGAGGCGUGGAGCGUGGAGCCUGGGAGCCUGCGGGCCUGCGGCUUUGCGGCUUAAUUGGCUUAAUUU